AACGCGUACCAUACGGUGUGGCAGACGGGUGAGUACGCGUGCGAACAUGCCCUCUGGUUCGGAAUAACUCAGGGAAACUUGAGCUAAUACCGGAUACGUGCGAGGCAACUUGGAGAAAGAUUUAUCGCCGGAGGAUUGGCCCGCGUCUGAUUAGCUAGUUGGUGGGGUAAUGGCUCACCAAGGCGACGAUCAGUAGCUGGUCUGAGAGGAUGAUCAGCCACAUUGGGACUGGGACACGGCCCAAACUCCUACGGGAGGCAGCAGUGGGGAAUAUUGGACAAUGGGCGCAAGCCUGAUCCAGCCAUGCCGCGUGAGUGAUGAAGGCCUUAGGGUUGUAAAGCUCUUUUACCCGGGAAGAUAAUGACGGUACCGGGAGAAUAAGCCCCGGCCAACUUCGUGCCAGCAGCCGCGGUAAU
rnacentral:rRNA from 1 species